GGGUGAUUAACUCAGUGGUAGAGUGACUGCUUUACACGCAGUAGGUCACUGGUUCAAAUCCAGUAUUACCCA
rnacentral:tRNA from 1 species